UAACGCUCGGAAACGGACGCUAAUACCGCAUACGUCCUACGGGAGAAAGCAGGGGACCUUCGGGCCUUGCGCUAUCAGAUGAGCCUAGGUCGGAUUAGCUAGUUGGUGAGGUAAUGGCUCACCAAGGCGACGAUCCGUAACUGGUCUGAGAGGAUGAUCAGUCACACUGGAACUGAGACACGGUCCAGACUCCUACGGGAGGCAGCAGUGGGGAAUAUUGGACAAUGGGCGAAAGCCUGAUCCAGCCAUGCCGCGUGUGUGAAGAAGGUCUUCGGAUUGUAAAGCACUUUAAGUUGGGAGGAAGGGCAGUUACCUAAUACGUGAUUGUUUUGACGUUACCGACAGAAUAAGCACCGGCUAACUCUGUGCCAGC
rnacentral:rRNA from 1 species